rnacentral:lncRNA from 1 species
UUUGAAGAAAAAAAUACUGAAGAUAGUGUAAUGCCGCUUCGAUAUAGAAGAUGGCUGAGCGGCCACCUUUUUGGACCACCUCAAAAAACGUAUGAGAUCACUAAUUCACCAUCUCGACUUAAAGAAGAAUAUGUAUAUCUUACUCUUCUCUUUACUUUUAUUUAUGUUCUUUGGCUAGUGUUGACUUUGUCUACUUGGCAGUCUGUCAGAACGACUUAAGAGAGCUACCAUCUUUAAUCGAUCGAUCCGAAUGAAAUUGUCAAAGAUUCUAAUCUUCC